GAAAUGCGAUAAGUAAUGUGAAUUGCAGAAUUCAGUGAAUCAUCGAAUCUUUGAACGCACAUUGCGCCCGCCAGUAUUCUGGCGGGCAUGCCUGUUUGAGCGUCAUUACAACCCUCAGGCCCCCGGGCCUGGCGUUGGGGAUCGGCGGAAGCCCCCUGCGGGCACAACGCCGUCCCCCAAAUACAGUGGCGGUCCCGCCGCAGCUUCCAUUGCGUAGUAGCUAACACCUCGCAACUGGAGAGCGGCGCGGCCACGCCGUAAAACACCCAACUUCUGAAUGUUGACCUCGAAUCAGGUAGGAAUACCCGCUGAACUUAAGC
rnacentral:misc_RNA from 1 species